AUCUUCUACCUACUGAAACCUUAGCGGGCUCAUCCAAGCCGACCGGACGACGUUAAAUAAACUCGGUCCUACCGUUCAAGCAUGACCAAUCUUGAACUGUGGCGCUGGCCGACUCCCCAUCUGCGGGGAGUUGACGACACCUCGAGUCUGCAGGAACGCUCCCGGGGGUAUAACCCCCCGAAGAACAACCUGCAGCCGUCGUGAUUCCUUUAAGAAUCUCGUCGGCCCACAGACUAAAUAGAGGUGGAUAUCAUCCGGAGGGAUGCUAGUUCAGAUAUAGUCGGCCUACCCAGAGGCAAAGUAAUUUGGGUUACACCGGUUCCGUAGGUGAACCUGCGGAAGGAUCAUUA
rnacentral:rRNA from 1 species